rnacentral:tRNA from 1 species
GCCUGGGUGGCUUGGUCGGUUAAGCGUCCGACUUCGGCUCAGGUCAUGAUCUCACGCUCCGUGGGUUCGAGUCCCGUGUCGGGCU